AUACGAAGGGGGCGAGCGUUAUUCGGAAUCACUGGGCGUAAAGCGUGCGUAGGCGGUCUUGUAAGUUAGGAGUGAAAUCCCCGGGCUUAACCUGGGCACUGCGUUUAAGACUGUUUAGCUAGAGUACUGUAGAGGAUAGUGGAAUUUCCAGUGUAGCGGUGAAAUGCGUAGAUAUUGGAAGGAACACCAGUGGCGAAGGCGACUAUCUGGACAGAUACUGACACUGAGACACGAAAGCGU
rnacentral:rRNA from 1 species